rnacentral:rRNA from 1 species
GACGAACGCUGGCGGCGUGCCUAAUACAUGCAAGUCGAGCGGAAGUUGGAGAGCUUGCUCUUCAACUUUAGCGGCGGACGGGUGAGUAACACGUGGGCAACCUGCCCUGCAGAUCGGGAUAACUCCGGGAAACCGGUGCUAAUACCGAAUAGUUUUCGCCACCUCCUGGUGGCGUACGGAAAGACGGUUUCGGCUGUCACUGCAGGAUGGGCCCGCGGCGCAUUAGCUAGUUGGUGGGGUAACGGCCCACCAAGGCGACGAUGCGUAGCCGACCUGAGAGGGUUAUCGGCCACACUGGGACUGAGACACGGCCCAGACUCCUACGGGAGGCAGCAGUAGGGAAUCUUCCGCAAUGGACGAAAGUCUGACGGAGCAACGCCGCGUGAGUGACGAAGGUUUUCGGAUCGUAAAACUCUGCUGUGAGGGAAGAACAAGUACCAACUAACUACUGGUACCUUGACGGUACCUCACCAGAAAGCCACGGCUAACUACGUGCCAGCAGCCGCGGUAACAC